rnacentral:rRNA from 1 species
GACGAACGCUGGCGGCGUGCCUAAUACAUGCAAGUCGAACGCUGAAGGAGGAGCUUGCUUCUCUGGAUGAGUUGCGAACGGGUGAGUAACGCGUAGGUAACCUGCCUGGCAGCGGGGGAUAACUAUUGGAAACGAUAGCUAAUACCGCAUAAUAGUAGAUGUCGCAUGACAUUUGCUUAAAAGGUGCAAUUGCAUCACUACCAGAUGGACCUGCGUUGUAUUAGCUAGUUGGUGAGGUAACGGCUCACCAAGGCAACGAUACAUAGCCGACCUGAGAGGGUGAUCGGCCACACUGGGACUGGGACACGGCCCAGACUCCUACGGGAGGCAGCAGUAGGGAAUCUUCGGCAAUGGGCGGAAGUCUGACCGAGCAACGCCGCGGGAGUGAAGAAGGUUUUCGGAUCGUAAAGCUCUGUUGUAAGAGAAGAACGAGUGUGAGAGUGGAAAGUUCACACUGUGACGGUAUCUUACCAGAAAGGGACGGCUAACUACGUG